rnacentral:ncRNA from 1 species
CGGGAGAAUCCGGCAGCGCUGCCGGUGCCGCACCGGCGGCGAUGCCGGUGCCGAAGGAGCAACAGCCCCGGAACCUCUCAGGCGAAAGGACCG